UACGGGGGGGGCAAGCGUUGUUCGGAAUUACUGGGCGUAAAGGGCUCGUAGGCGGCCAACUAAGUCAGACGUGAAAUCCCUCGGCUUAACCGGGGAACUGCGUCUGAUACUGGAUGGCUUGAGUUCGGGAGAGGGAUGUGGAAUUCCAGGUGUAGCGGUGAAAUGCGUAGAUAUCUGGAGGAACACCGGUGGCGAAGGCGGCAUCCUGGACCGGUAUUGACGCUGAGGCGCGAAAGCCAGGGGAGCAAACGGG
rnacentral:rRNA from 1 species